UACGUAGGGACCGAGCGUUGUCCGGAAUCAUUGGGCGUAAAGAGCGUGUAGGCGGCCUUUUAAGUCCUGCGUGAAAUCCUGCGGCUCAACCGCAGACGGUCGUGGGAAACUGGAAGGCUAGAGUGCGGGAGAGGAGAGUGGAAUUCCCGGUGUAGCGGUGAAAUGCGCAGAUAUCGGGAAGAACACCCGUGGCGAAGGCGGCUCUCUGGAACGCAACUGACGCUGAGACGCGGAAAGCGUGGGGAGCAAACAGG
rnacentral:rRNA from 1 species